rnacentral:rRNA from 1 species
GGUGCAUGGUUGUCGUCAGCUCGUGUCGUUGAGAUGUUGGGUUAAGUCCCGCAACGAGCGCAACCCCUACGUUUAGUUGCUAACAGGUGAAGCUGAGCACUCUAGACGAACUGCCGUUGACAAAACGGAGGAAGGUGGGAUGACGUCAAAUCAUCAUGCCCCUUAUGUUCUGGGCUACACACGUGCUACAAUGGCCGGUACAGACGGAGGCGAAGCCGCGAGGCGGAGCAAAUCCGAAAAAGCCGGUCUCAGUUCGGAUUGCAGGCUGCAAUUCGCCUGCAUGAAGUCGGAAUCGCUAGUAAUCGCAGGUCAGCAUACUGCGGUCGAGUACGUUCCCGGGCCUU